GGGGAUUUAGCUCAGUGGUAGAGCGCUUGCCUAGCACUGCUUAGCAAGCGCAAGGCCCUGGGUUCGGUCCCCAGCUCCA
rnacentral:tRNA from 1 species